AAUCAACGCUGGCGGCGUGCCUAACACAUGCAAGUCGAACGCGAAAGUCCCGCAAGGGAUGAGUAGAGUGGCAAACGGGUGAGUAACACGUGGGUGACCUGCCUUCGAGCGGGGGAUAACGUCCCGAAAGGGACGCUAAUACCGCAUAACAUCCUGCCUUUUAAGAGGUGGAGAUCAAAGCCGGGGAUCGCAAGACCUGGCACUUGAAGAGGGGCCCGCGCCUGAUUAGCUAGUUGGUGGGGUAAUGGCUCACCAAGGCAACGAUCAGUAUCCGGCC
rnacentral:rRNA from 1 species